AGAAGAUGAUGCAUGUGAGCCCUGCCCUUGGGAAGCUUCCAGGUUGGGAAAUGAGGAAUGAGCCUGACACCCAGGGCCCAGAGAGACCCAGGACAGAGGCAGGUCAGGAGGCAGACACGCGCUGCUGGGUAAUGACGACAGCACCAGUAAUCACGGCUACUCCUUGUUAAGUACUUACUAAGUGCAAGACUCCAAGCUAAGCAAUUAAUAGACCUUUUCUUGUUUAAUCCUUACCACAAUUCCAUAGGCAUCUCACAGAGAAGAUACUUGGAUGGGCCACAGGCCAAAACUGGGCCAAAACCCUGGAGAGGGGGACCUGGCUCAAGGCCACACCACAUUUCCAUGUCAUUUUCCAGUGGCACCAACUGAGCUGGACAGAUGUUCUCACAGAGCUACACAUGCCACAGUCAUCACUAGUUGCGAGAGUCUCCAGUGUUCAUUAAGCCUAUUUUGCUGGAAGUUUAGUCCCUGGAGGAUUAGUCCCUGCCCUUAAGGAGUGCCAAAGAAGACUUUGGAAUCUAAGUCACAUCUCCCCUGCUGCAAUUUUUUCCUCUUGAUAAUCAAGGAAUCUCACUGAUAAAACUCUCAAUGAGGAGCAGCUCUCCCCAUGAGCAAGUUCUUGCCUUCAUUGCCAGGGAGGCCCCAGCUAAGGUUAUACUGGGAAAGGAAUCUCUGGGGAGUACCUGGAAGAGGUCAGCUUCUCCUCAAAGGAAGCCUCUCCAGCUGGUGUACUGCAAAGCCUUCCAAGACCAAGUUCCCUCUUCCUGGCCUCUGGAACCAGCCUGUGUGCCAGCGCUGUGUCCCCAGUAACACACAUGAGUCUCUCCCUCAGAAGCCACAGAAGGAUGCAGAGAGAGACCAACCCAGGAUUGAUUCUCAGCACUUACUAAUUGUGUGGACAUAACUGCUCUGGACCUCAGCUUUGCUAUCUAUAAAAUGAGCACCCUUUUUAUAGAUA
rnacentral:lncRNA from 1 species